GCCCGCUACAGAAACUUAAAGGAAUUAGAGGGGCCCCGCACAAGCGGUGAGCAUGUGGUUUAAUUCGAUGAUACGCAGGAACCUUACCUGGGCUCAAAUGUAUGUUGACGUAUUCUGAAAGGGAUACUUCUUUCGGACAAUAUACAAGGUGCUGCAUGGUUGUCGUCAGCUCGUGCCGUGAGGUGUCGGGUUAAGUCCCAUAACGAGCGCAACCCUAUCAUUAGUUGCCAUCAGGUCAAGCUGGGGACUCUAAUGAAACUGCCUACGCAAGUAGUGAGGAAGGUGGGGAUGACGUCAAAUCAGCACGGCCCUUACGUCCAGGGCUACACACGUGCUACAAUGGCCGGUACAAAGGGCAGCUACCUGGUGACAGGAUGCUAAUCUCAAAAGCCGGUCUCAGUUCGGAUCGGAGUCUGCAACCCGACUCCGUGAAGCUGGAAUCGCUAGUAAUCGCGCAUCAGCCAUGGCGCGGUGAAUACGUUCCCGGGCCUU
rnacentral:rRNA from 1 species